rnacentral:rRNA from 1 species
UACGUAGGGAGCAAGCGUUGUCCGGAAUCAUUGGGCGUAAAGCGCCGCGUAGGCGGCCCGGUAAGUCCGCUGUAAAAGUCAAAGGCUCAACCUUUGAAUGUCAGUGGAUACUGCCGGGCUAGAGUCCGGAAGAGGCGAGUGGAAUUCCUGGUGUAGCGGUGGAAUGCGCAGAUAUCAGGAGGAACACCGAUGGCGAAGGCAGGUCUCUGGGCAUUAACUGACGCUGAGGCGCGAAGCGUGGUAGCAACAGG